rnacentral:rRNA from 1 species
ACGGGUGCGUAACACGUAUGCAAUCUACCCUUAACUGGGGGAUAGCCCCGAGAAAUCGGGAUUAAUACCCCAUAAUAUUAUGAAGUGGCAUCAUUUUAUAAUUAAAGCUCCGGCGGUUUUGGAUGAGCAUGCGCGACAUUAGCUAGUUGGUGAGGUAACGGCUCACCAAGGCUUCGAUGUCUAGGGGUUCUGAGAGGAUUCACCCCCACACUGGUACUGAGACACGGACCAGACUCCUACGGGAGGCAGCAGUAAGGAAUAUUGGUCAAUGGACGCAAGUCUGAACCAGCCAUGCCGCGUGCAGGAUGACGGCCCUACGGGUUGUAAACUGCUUUUGUACGGGAAAAAACCUCCGGUCGUGAAUCGGAGCUGAUGGUACCGUAAGAAUAAGCAUCGGCUAACUCCGUGCCAGCAGCCGCGGUAAUACGGAGGAUGCAAGCGUUAUCCGGAUUCAUUGGGUUUAAAGGGUGCGCAGGCGGAAUGAUAAGUCAGUGGUGAAAUCUCUCGGCUCAACUGUAGACGUGCCUUUGAUACUGCCGGACUAGAGUUAAGAUGGAGUGGGCGGAAUGUGUUGUGUAGCGGUGAAAUGCUUAGAUAUAACACAGAACACCGAUCGCGAAGGCAGCUCACUAAACUUUGACUGACGCUCAUGCACGAAAGCGUGGGGAUCAAACAGGAUUAGAUACCCUGGUAGUCCACGCUGUAAACGAUGAUCACUCGCUGUUGGCGAUAUACCGUCAGUGGCUAAGCGAAAGUGAUAAGUGAUCCACCUGGGGAGUACGACCGCAAGGUUGAAACUCAAAGGAAUUGACGGGGGCCCGCACAAGCGGAGGAGCAUGUGGUUUAAUUCGAUGAUACGCGAGGAACCUUACCAGGGCUCGAACGUACAGCGACUUGUCGAGAAAUCGGCA